UACGUAGGGUGCGAGCGUUGUCCGGAAUUAUUGGGCGUAAAGAGCUUGUAGGCGGUUUGUCGCGUCUGCUGUGAAAAUCCGGGGCUCAACCCCGGACUUGCAGUGGGUACGGGCAGACUAGAGUGUGGUAGGGGAGACUGGAAUUCCUGGUGUAGCGGUGAAAUGCGCAGAUAUCAGGAGGAACACCGAUGGCGAAGGCAGGUCUCUGGGCUACUGACUGACGCUGAGAAGCGAAAGCAUGGGGAGCGAACAGG
rnacentral:rRNA from 1 species